AUUGAACGCUGGCGGCAGGCCUAACACAUGCAAGUCGAACGGUAACAGGAAGCAGCUUGCUGCUUUGCUGACGAGUGGCGGACGGGUGAGUAAUGUCUGGGAAACUGCCUGAUGGAGGGGGAUAACUACUGGAAACGGUAGCUAAUACCUCAUAACGUCGCAAGACCAAAGAGGGGGACCUUCGGGCCUCUGUCCAUCGGAUGUGCCCAGAUGGGAUUAGCUAGUAGGUGGGGUAACGGCUCACCUAGGCGACGAUCCCUAGCUGGUCUGAGAGGAUGACCAGCCACACUGGAACUGAGACACGGUCCAGACUCCUACGGGAGGCAGCAGUGGGGAAUAUUGCACGAUGGGCGCAAGCCUGAUGCAGCCAUGCCGCGUGUAUGAAGAAGGCCUUCGGGUUGUAAAGUACUUUCAGCGGGGAGGAAGGGAGUAAAGUUAAUACCUUUGCUCAUUGACGUUACCCGCAGAAGAAGCACCGGCUAACUCCGUG
rnacentral:rRNA from 1 species